GUUUAUUCUACACACCUCUUUAGGAACUACAUUAACAUGACAUUUAUACUGUACCUGUUUUAUUUCACACUACUUCCAUUCUGGAUCCUAGGACAGUCACUAAGUGACAACAUCCGUCAGACUCCAAAGGAUUUGAUCGUUCAAUCUCAAGAAGUGUCUGUGACACUUAACUGCUCUCACAGCAUUUCAGACUAUUACAUGAUAUUAUGGUAUCAGCAGCUGAAGGGUGAUACUGCUUUAAAUCUCAUAGGACAUGUCCUUUACAAAAAUCCAUCUGUUGAAAGUCAAUACAACAAUCAGUACACCAUUGCAGGAGAUGGUGAAGAUUCCUCAACUCUUAAAGCCAAGCUGAAUAAAAUAGAAACCUCAAUACUGUAUUUCUGUGCAGCCAGCAAAGCACAGUGUUAGACACCAUCAGUCUC